rnacentral:lncRNA from 1 species
UCUGCCUCCCAAGUGCUGGGAUUAAAGGGGUGCACCACCACCGCUGGGCUAAUUUUUUUAAACUUUAAUUAAGUUUUACUAUGAGUUGCUUACCCACUUUUAUAUAGUAUUUGCAAAAUGUAUCUUUUCCAGUGUCUUAAAGACAGUAUUAUGUAUCUUAAGCAUAGUGUCUGUAGCCCAUUCUGCUCUGUAGUUGAGGAUAACUUGGAACUUGUGAUCCUCUUGCUGGGACCCUUUUGAGUGCUGGGAUUCCAGAUGGUUGUUAACAUGCCCAGUUUUGUGUGGUGCUGGAGACGGAAACCAGGGCUCUGUGCAUGCUGGGCAAGCACUUGUUGAGUUAUAGUCUUUACAUUUCAACUUUUCUGUAUCUUGUUUUAAAGAAGUAACUCUUACAGAUGUUACUUAUUUUUUAUUGUUAUUAAUUUUUUUUCCAGACACGGUUUCUCUGUGUAGCCCUGGAGAACUCAGAAAUUCACCUGCCUCUGCCUCCCAAGUGCUGGGAUUAAAGGUGUGCGCCACCACUCCCAGCUGUUACUAAUUUUUGUGUGUAUGGUUCAUGUGCAAAGGCCAGAUGAGGAUGAUGGUGCCUUCCUUUAGCAUUCUCUUACUUGUUUCUUGAGACAAGGUCACUCGCUGACCCUGUCUGUAGGCUGGCCGGCUCACCAGCCCCUCCUGGAUCUCCCUGUUUGGCCCCAGCAGUGGGGCUCUAGGCACCCACAGUGCAGUAGAGCCAGAUUUCCAUGUUACUUUGUAGGUUUUGUCGUGCUCUUUAUUUUUUCUUUGUGCUUGUCAUCUCUUGACCUUUAAUAUUUUCAGUUUUCCCUUUGUUUACUUGGCUUUAAUGUCAUCUGCAUUAUAUUUCUGAUAGAAAUCGUGACAAGUAUACAGUUAACAAAAUUGGUAACACCUUUUUUUGUCUUCUAAUACAAGGAUUAUGAGUGUGGUUUCAGCUCUAUUUACUGAUACCCUCACUGUCAUUUAUGAUGGCAUACUUGAGGUUCUGCAGAGAUUGCUUCAUCUUAUACAGGGUUCCUGAAUUUUUCCCCAUCUUUACUGAUCUGAUUUAUUGUCUCUUUGAUCUUACAUCUAAGAUUUUAUCUCCUUUGACUUAAAGCACAUCUUUUAGAAAUUUUAGUAAUAACGAAGGCAAGUCUUUAUUGUCUAUCUGAAUCAUUUGUCUCUUAAAGAUGGGUAUUUUUGUUGGAUAUAGAAUUUUUUGGCUGGCAGUUAUUCUUUUAAACACAUUUUGAAUAUUACUCCACUGUUAACUGGCUUCCAUUAUUAUUUGUUGAGAAAGUGUGUUAUUUUUCUACCUGUUUCUUUGAAAGAAAUCUGUAGUUUAUCUUGGGUUGUUGGGUUAUACUUUACCUUCUUUUGUAGAGUUGUCUUUAGUUAUAUUGCUGAACUCAUCAGCCUGUUAAAAACCGUGAUUUGUCUUACUCUUAAUUUCAUUUUCUUAGUUAUCCUAUUAAAGUUGACAUUUCUGUUUAAUUUUUCAUGCGCCUUUGAAUUCUUUAUCCCAUUUCAGUCAUUAUAUCAUUACCAGCAUCUCCUCUUAGACUUUGAUCUUCACUUCUUUAAUGUCUCAGUUUUGUUCUUUUCAUCAACCUUGACAAUUCCUGCUUGAUGUCUUUGGGUGUCAUCUUUUCUGUCGGUUUAACAUGUCUCUGCUGCUCGGCAGUCAGUGUCUGUUUGGUGCCAAGGUCUUGUACCAUGACUUGCUUACUUUCUUACAUUCAUGGUUUGUAUUUAGGUCUCUCCCUCUGUUGCACUGCAUCCUCUUGCCUUUCCAUAUCUUAGCAUGAGUCUUGUUUUGGUUCUUACUGAUCUGGUUGAUUGUCACUAAUCUUCACAUGUGCCGGGCAUGGUGGCACAGCCUGUGACCCCAGCACUCAGGAGGCAGAGAACAAAACAACAACAAGAGCAGGUUUGCCAUGGCUAAUUGAAAGGAGCUUCUGAUGAGUCAGGCACUAGAGCUGUGGUCGGGAUUAGCAAGUCGUUUCCUUAGUGCUUACCUUGGGAUUUUGUUUAUUCCCAGCAGUGCCCAAUAUUGCAAAAGCUCCCUUCUCUUUCCACAUAACCACCAGUCUGCUUCCUGAAACAUGGCUUCUUCCCCAAAUUCCUACUCACCUAUGCCUUCAGGCUGUGGUUUUUGCCAUAUUCUCUUUGCUGUUUACUUUACUUUCCAUUAUUUACUUCCAACUCAUUCUUCAAGGCAAGUUCUUUUCAGAUAGCUUCUUUUAUUCCUUCCCUGGUAUUCUCUCCUCCUUUUAAUCUUACUUGAUUAAGUGCCAUAUUUCUCACUUGGUGC